rnacentral:rRNA from 1 species
GAACGAACGCUGGCGGCAGGCCUAACACAUGCAAGUCGAGCGCCCCCGCAAGGGGGAGCGGUGGACGGGUGAGUAACGCGUGGGAACGUACCCUUUGCUACGGAAUAGCCUCGGGAAACUGGGAGUAAUACCGUAUGUGCCCUUCGGGGGGAAAGAUUUAUCGGCAAAGGAUCGGCCCGCGUUGGAUUAGGUAGUUGGUGGGGUAAUGGCCUACCAAGCCGACGAUCCAUAGCUGGUUUGAGAGGAUGAUCAGCCACACUGGGACUGAGACACGGCCCAGACUCCUACGGGAGGCAGCAGUGGGGAAUCUUAGACAAUGGGCGCAAGCCUGAUCUAGCCAUGCCGCGUGAUCGAUGAAGGCCUUAGGGUUGUAAAGAUCUUUCAGUGGGGAAGAUAAUGACUGUACCCACAGAAGAAGCCCCGGCUAACUCCGUG